GCUAAGAAUAUUCCGCAAUGGACGAAAGUCUGACGGAGCGACGCCGCGUGGAUGAGGAAGGCCGAAAGGUUGUAAAGUCCUUUUGUCGAUGAAGAAUAAGUGGUGGAGGGAAUGCCAUCAUGAUGACGUUAGUCGGCGAAUAAGCCCCGGCUAAUUACGUGCCAGCAGCCGCGGUAACACGUAAGGGGCAAGCGUUGUUCGGAAUUAUUGGGCGUAAAGGGUACGUAGGCGGUUAUGUAAGCCCGGCGUGAAAUCCUGCAGCUUAACUGUAGAGCUGCGCUGGGAACUGCGUAACUUGAGUCAUGGAAGGGAAGUUAGAAUUCCAGGUGUAGGGGUGAAAUCUGUAGAUAUCUGGAAGAAUACCGGUGGCGAAGGCGAACUUCUGGCCAAUGACUGACGCUGAGGUACGAAAGUGCGGGGAGCAAACAGGAUUAGAAACCCCAGUAGUCC
rnacentral:rRNA from 1 species